AACGUAGGAGACAAACGUUAUCCGGAGUUACUGGGCGUAAAGGGCGUGUAGGCGGUUUGUUAAGUCUGGCGUGAAAGCUCUCGGCUAAACCGGGAGAGGUCGUUGGAUACUGGCAGACUAGAGGACGGUAGAGGCGUGUGGAAUUCCGGGUGUAGUGGUGAAAUGCGUAGAGAUCGGCAGGAACACCCAGGGGGAAACCAGCCGACUGGGCAUUAACUGACGCUGAGGUGCGAGAGCGUGGGGAGCGAACCGG
rnacentral:rRNA from 1 species